rnacentral:rRNA from 1 species
AGAGUUUGAUCCUGGGCUCAGAUUGAACGCUGGCGGUAUGCUUAACACAUGCAAGUCGAACGGCAGCACGAGAGAGCUUGCUCUCUUGGUGGCGAGUGGCGGACGGGUGAGUAACGCGUAAGAAUCUGCCUAGUAGUGGGGGAUAACUCGAGGAAACUCGAGCUAAUACCGCAUACGCCCUACGGGGGAAAGUGGGGGACCUUCGGGCCUCACGCUAUUAGAUGAGCUUGCGUUGGAUUAGCUAGUUGGUAGGGUAAUGGCCUACCAAGGCGACGAUCCAUAGCUGGUCUGAGAGGACGAUCAGCCACACUGGGACUGAGACACGGCCCAGACUCCUACGGGAGGCAGCAGUCGCGGGAAUAUUGGACAAUGGGCGGAAGCCUGAUCCAGCAAUACCGCGUGUGUGAAGAAGGCCUCCGGGUUGUAAAGCACUUUCAAUUGUGAAGAAAAGCGGGAGGCUAAUACCCUUCUGUCUUGACGUUAACUUUAGAAG